rnacentral:rRNA from 1 species
UGGAGGGCAAGUCUGGUGCCAGCAGCCGCGGUAAUUCCAGCUCCAAUAGCGUAUAUUAAAGUUGUUGCAGUUAAAAAGCUCGUAGUUGAACUUCGGAAUCAAUGGAUUGGUCAUGCCGUCGGUAUGUACUGGUCAUAUUGGUUCUCACCUUCUAAGGAACCAUAAUGUCAUUCAUUUGAUGUUUUGGGGAAUUAGGACUGUUACCUUGAAAAAAUUAGAGUGUUUAAAGCAGGCUAACGCUUGAAUACAUUAGCAUGGAAUAAUGAAAUAGGACAUCGCAUUCUAUUUUGUUGGUUUCUAGGAUCGAUGUAAUGAUUAAUAGGGAUAGUUGGGGGCAUUAGUAUUCAAUUGUCAGAGGUGAAAUUCUUGGAUUUAUUGAAGACUAACUACUGCGAAAGCAUUUGCCAAGGAUGUUUUCAUUAAUCAAGAACGAAAGUUAGGGGAUCGAAGACGAUCAGAUACCGUCGUAGUCUUAACCAUAAACUAUGCCGACUAGGGAUCGGAUGAUGUUGAUUUUUUAAUGACUCAUURCGGCGCCUUACGGGAAAC